CCUAGGUCUUCGUGAGCAAGCAAGUUGGACGCACACCCACUUAGUUUCUUUUGUUGAGCUUUCAUACAUUUAUAGCUCUAGUGCAUCUGUUGCAUGGCAAUCCCUACUCACUCACAUUGAUAUCUAUUGAUGGGCAUCUCCAUAGCCCAUUAAUACGCCUAGUUGAUGUGAGACCAUCUUCCUCCUUUUUGUCUUCUCCACAACCACCAUUUUAUUCCACCUAUAGUGCUAUGUCCAUGGCUCACGCUCAUGUAUUGCGUGA
rnacentral:rRNA from 1 species